rnacentral:rRNA from 2 species
UUGGGAAUAUUGGGCAAUGGAGGAAACUCUGACCCAGCAACGCCGCGUGAAGGAAGAAGGUUUUCGGAUUGUAAACUUCUGUAAUAGAGGAAGAAGAAAGUGACGGUACUCUAUUAGAAAGCUACGGCAAACUACGUGCCAGCAGCCGCGGUAAGACGUAGGUAGCAAGCGUUGUCCGGAAUAACUGGGCGUAAAGGGAGCGUAGGCGGUCAUGUAAGUCUAAUGUGAAAGUUUGUGGCUUAACCAUAAAAGUGCAUUGGAUACUGUGUGACUGGAGUACGGAAGAGGUAAACGGAAUUACUAGUGUAGCGGUGAAAUGCGUAGAUAUUAGUAGGAAGACCAGAGGCGAAGGCGGUUUACUGGGACGAUACUGACGCUGAGGCUCGAAAGCGUGGGGAGCAAACAGG